UAAGGAAUAUUGGUCAAUGGGCGAAAGCCUGACCCAGCAACGCCGCGUGAGGGAUGAAGUAUUUCGGUAUGUAAACCUCGAAAGAAUGGGAAGAAUAAAUGACGGUACCAUUUAUAAGCUCCGGCUAACUACGUGCCAGCAGCCGCGGUAAUACGUAGGGAGCAAGCGUUGUUCGGAUUUACUGGGCGUAAAGGGCGCGUAGGCGGCGCGGUAAGUCACUUGUGAAAUCUCUGAGCUUAACUCAGAACGGCCAAGUGAUACUGCUGUGCUAGAGUGCGGAAGAGGCAACCGGAAUUCUUGGUGUAGCGGUGAAAUGCGUAGAUAUCAAGAGGAACACCUGAGGCGAAGGCGGGUUGCUGGGCCGACACUGACGCUGAUGCGCGAAAGCCAGGGGAGCAAACG
rnacentral:rRNA from 1 species